rnacentral:rRNA from 1 species
GCGGAGGAAAAGAAAAUAACAAUGAUUCCCUUAGUAACUGCGAGUGANGGGGGAAAAGCUCAAAUUUUAAAUCUGUUAGGUUAUACCUGACCGAGUUGUAAUUUGAAGAGGCGUUUUCUGAGGGUUUGAUCAGUCCAAGUCCUUUGGGAUAAGGCAUCAUGGAGGGUGAGAAUCCCGUUCGGUUGAUCAGAACUUCUUUACGAUACGUCAUCAAAGAGUCAAGUUGUUUGGGAUUGCAGCUUAAAAUGGGAGGUAAAUUUCUCCUAAGGCUAAAUAACGGCGAGAGACCGAUAGCGAACAAGUACCGUGAGGGAAAGAUGAAAAGAACUUUGAAAAGAGAGUUAAACAGUACGUGAAAUUGUUGAAAGGGAAACGAUUGAAGCCAGUCGUACCGGCGGGUAAUCAGCCUUUUGGGUGUGAUUAUGUGGAGCGUGAGGAGUUAAUCACCCUCAUCUUUGCAUAUUCGUGCACUUUGGGUGUACUUGCUCGUGUGGUAGGUUAACAUCAAUUUUGAUCGUCAUAAAAUGAUUGGAGGAAUGUAGCUUCGAUCUCGUAUUGAAGUGUUAUAGCCUUCGGUAGAUGUGAUGAUUGGGAUUGAGGAUUGCAACGGAUACCCUUCGGGGCUACCUGUCUGAUCUCUGAAAGUUGCUCUGGUGCUGAAAGCUUGCUUAUGGUAUCAAAGUUGACGUUCAACAGGUUAGAACGGGAUAANUUCGUNAAGGAUGUUGACGUAAUGGCUUUAAACGACCCGUCUUGA